rnacentral:misc_RNA from 1 species
AACCCCGGCGCCACAGGCGCCAAGGACCCGCAACAGAGCGAAGGCACGCCGGCUGGGGGCCCGGGAACGGCGCCGAUCACCCAGCCCGGCGACUCGUGCCGCAUGCAAAUCCGAAACGACUCUCGGCAACGGAUAUCUCGGCUCUCGCAUCGAUGAAGAACGUAGCGAAAUGCGAUACUUGGUGUGAAUUGCAGAAUCCCGUGAACCAUCGAGUCUUUGAACGCAAGUUGCGCCCGAAGCCGUCAGGCCGAGGGCACGUCUGCCUGGGCGUCACGCAUCGUCGCCGCCGCCCCGCCCCGGGGCGCGGCGGAUGAUGGCCUCCCGAGAGCCUGGCUCCCGGCUGGCCGAAAAGGGGGGCCCGAAGUGACGACCGCCACGAUCCACGGUGGCUGAGCGAACACGCGCUCGAGACCAAGACGUGCGCGGGUCGUCCGACGAGAGGGGGCCCGCAGGCGGAGAAGGGCGCGCGACGGCCGAGCCCUCGAACCGUACGCGACCCCAGUCAG